GAUAAUCCCCGUAUACUGUAGG
rnacentral:miRNA from 1 species